AAAAAAAACGAGGCAAACUUCAAGUAGCUGCCAGUUGCACCUGUAGUCCCAGAUACUUGAGAUACUGAGGGAUUGAACUUGGGUCCUUGAGCUUGCGCAGCAGGUGGAGAAACCACUGAGCUAAAUCCCCAUCCUCUAAUAUAUUCUUUAUGGUAAUAACCUCCUUUUGAUUCAGCUUAGAGACCAGAACUACAAAGGUAACUGAGUUAAGAAGACAGCCAAUAUCUUGGUCCUGGCCCUCCAAGGUCAACAAAUAAUCCAGGACUUGUGAGAACCUUUUCUACAAGAUCCUACAACUUUGUUGAUCUAUCUCUUUGUGAAAGUGGGGUUUUACCUCAGUUGCCCGUGAACUAGCACAAACAAUCAACAAAUGGG
rnacentral:lncRNA from 1 species